UCGUGUUGAAGUAAACCUUCUUUUCUGGUUCUCCUGCUACUUCCAAAUUUAUCCGAUUCUAACUCCAUGUGUGUGAUUGCCAGAUAGUUCACUGGAGAAAUCACCUAAGAUUUCCUGAAGAUACUAAACUCUCACAUGAGGCAAAGGAUCUUAUUUGCAGGUUACUAUGUGAUGUUGAGCAUAGACUGGGAACUGGAGGUGCAAACCAAAUAAAGGCUCAUCCUUGGUUCA
rnacentral:misc_RNA from 1 species